UCCUGAAAAUUCUCAAAAAAAAUCCCAAAAAAAUCCUAAAAAUUCUCCUAAAAAUCACCAAAGAAUCCCCCAAAAAAUCCCAAAAAAUCCCAUUAAAAAUCCCAAAAAAAUCCCCAAAAACAUUCCCAAAAAAUCCUAAAUAUUCUCCUAAAAUUCUCCUAAAAAUCCCCAAAUAAUCCCCCAAAAAUUCUGAAAUAGAUCCCAUAAAAAUUCCCCUAAAAAUCACCCAAAAUUCCCAAAAAAAUCCCAAAUCUUUGGGAUUUUUUGGGGAUUUUUUGGGAUUUUUUGGGGAUUUUUUGGGGAUUUUUUGGGGAUUUUUUUUUUGGGAUUUUUUGGGAUUUUUUGGGGAAUUUUUUUGGGAUUUUUUUGGGAUUUUUUAGGGAUUUUUUGGGAUUUUUUUGGGAUUUUUGGAGGAUUU
rnacentral:lncRNA from 1 species